AUAAAAAUGAUUCCUUAUCUUUGAUAGUAAGUUCAAAAUAGCCCCUUAAGUAUCACUGAGCAGUUUUAUCAUUUUGUCAUCCAUUUUACACAAAAUCCUCUCCUAAAUUGUCCUCGGUUACUCUACCAUUUUCAUUUUCAUUUUCAUUUUGGGUCGGCUCAGCUUAAUUCCUCUCUUCCAACAAUGAAUGAUUCCAUAAUACCUCUUCUUAAAUCACAACAUAAAUCCUCUUAAAGCUACCCUUGAAUUCGUUAUUGAAAUGCAUGUGUAUUUCAAAAUCAUGGCUUCAACUAAUUUCUAACCCUGAUUUUGUGAAGACCCAUCUGAAAUUAAGUGCUAAUGACAAAGAAUUCAGCCACCAUAGGGUCAUAUUUCCUGACUACAAAAACAAUUUCAACGUAUGCUCUCUCCCUAACUUAUUUCACAAAGAAACAAGCACUGAGGUAGUUGUUGACAUGGAUGGAAAACCCCCUGUUUAUUGUUGGACUGUGGAUUUGGCUAAUGGGUUGGUUUGUUUUUUGGUUGGCUUUGAGGAGGGCUACUUAUGUAACCCCACAAUUAGAAAGUCCAAGAAAUUGCCUAAAAUUCUUUGCGCGUGUUUGUAGUUACUAUUACAGAUAUGGUUUUGGAUAUGAUGAGUCACAUGACGAUUAUAAAGUAGUAAUUAUUCAGUGUAUUUCUGAUAAUGGCGGAUCAUAGGAUAAUGUGGUCAAGAUUUACAAUUUGAGGACUGAUUCUUGGAGAAGAGUCAAUGGGUGUCGGGCCAUCUUUAUGCUGGAUUGUUCAAGUAAAUUUGUCAAUGGGAAGUUAUGUUGGCCUUCAUGUGCUACGCCUGCUGGUGUUCAUGGGUACGAAUUCUGGUGUUCAUGGUUACGAAUUUUGUGACACCGUUUCUCCUGAUUUAACAGAUGAGACAUGGGGAAGGCUGGAGGUUCUUUGUUAUGGACAAGGCAAAAGUAUACUAGGAGUGAUGGGAAAUGAUCUCUCUGUGCUUUAUCAUCGUGGAAAGAUUUGUGAUAUGUGGAUUAUCCAGGAUUGUGGCACUGACACCAACCCUGUAUAUUACUAUCCAAAAGGAGGGCAAUAUGAUGCCUUACCUCCUCAUAUCCUAUGUUAGAAUUGAACAAACUCAAUGCUUUACUAUAGGGAAAGUAAAUAAAAGGAGGAAUUGGGGAUACUAAAUGACCGUCCCUCAAUUCAUAUGUACAGGACUCAUCCUUAUUUUUUUUCAUGACAAGGGAACCCACAGCUGCCCCUUUAGAUGCGCGUAAGGUAAACCCUGCUCCUGUGUAAUAGUGCACAAAUUACACAGGAGAGAUAAUCCGCACUAAGCAAGCCUCGUGCUGUUACAUCCCGCGUUUUCACAAGUUGGAAGGCGUACGAGUUCAAUGACAUUAGUAACGGAAUAAGUUUGAUGAAUUUUGAAACUGUUAUAUAUGGUCUUGAUAUGGUAUUUUCUUUUAAGUAAACCCCUUUUAGUAAAUAUUUGAUAAGUAUAAUUUUCUAUAGUUAUUACUGUUACUACUUCUGGGAUACAUUUUUAAUUAUGUGUGCGGUAUGAGGACAUUUAGAAGUGAGAUUUUAUUUGUUAUGGGUACAUAAAUUAUUUCCUCUUAUGAAAAUCUAUCUUUUUCUAUUAUGAGAAUUAUUGAGGAAUACGUAUGAUAGAUAUUAAUAUAUGCACCAUUGCUAUAUUAUUACCAUAUGAAUACUACGUUACCAAUUAGAUAUAGUGAUUACUAGAUGAAAAUAUAGAAGGAAACAUAUGGUGCUUUUUGUUUACAAGUGUAACAGAUAGAAAGUCUUUUUAGUUGGAAAAUAUGUAUUAUAUAUUAAAUGUUAAGUGGGACAGCAAGGAUGGAAUAGCUACUAUUAAAAGGUGUAGUGACUACAUGGAUUAAUGGUAGGCAUUCAUUUUAGUAAAUAUAAGGAACAUUACAUUGAUAGGAUAAGUGUUUCGUACUAUUAGUGCGUGAAUUUGUUAAAUUCCACACUUUUGUGCAUUGGAUUUGUCGUAAGUUAAUUGACAUAAGUUCAAGGACAAUAUUAUGUGUAACAAGUGAUAAGUAAGUGUCGUGGAGGUUAAACGAAUCGGAGAAAAUAAGUUUUGUCAAAGUUUAGAAAUUGAACAAGUUAUAACGAACUAUAUGGAAUUUUAGUCACAUUCAAGUAUGCAAAUAAAGAGAUCAUGGUAUAAAAGUUUGAGGUCCCGAAAUUAUUUAAGACUCGAAAGUGAAUGACGGUGAUUGGAAAUAAUAUUUUGUGUGUACAAAAAGGGACUGUGGACUACUGCUACAUCACAUGAUCAUGCCAAUGAAUAUGGAGUGUAUUAAAAAUGAUUACUUUUUAAAUGAAUUGAGAUCAAGAAAUUAAUUACGCGGGCAAUUAAUGAAACGUCGGAUUAGUGGGGGACAUAAUUCGGUGAUCACCACAAAUAAAGUGACCAGAUGUACAAGCCGUGUAAGUGUUAUCUACACUUAAUCUCUUAAGGUGCAAAUAAUAUAAGUGGAAGGGGAGGGGGCUUAGGUGUCAAGUUUAUAGUGCAAGCGUGCAAAAAGUUUGCCAGCAAGCACCACUAAGUAUGUACUUAUUUAUUAAAAUAGCAAAUCAACAUAUGAGGCUACAUUUCAUUUGGAUACUAAUCCUUGGGAGGAACAAGACACCAAAAACGUACAGCAACCUCCCUAGAUUCAUCAAGCAAUGUAUAGCACAAAUUCAUACGUAUUGCAAAAACGUUUUCGGCCCUUUAAGGAAAACAAUAUUCCAUUCUUGUUCAAGAAUUAGUAGGAGCAAGAGUUGUUCUUGGAGAGCUCAAGUAAAUGUUGUUGAUGAAUAUAUCAAGUGAGGCGGAUUGGAGGUUUCUUCGAACUGAAGAAAGGUGGAAGAAGAGUAGUUAACGGAAUAUAAGGCUAAAAGAGCGACGAGACGAACGAGUUACGAAUAGCCGCUAACAGGUACAGACGCACAGUUUGGUGAUCCACCAGUUUAGGACACCCUCUUCUGCUGUUUGGAGUGCUCCUCUUAUUCCGGAGCCUACAUUUUGGUAUAUAUACUUGUUUGAUGCAUAUGUAUAUAUUUGUUCAGAAGUACGGCGGGGCCCUGUUCCGCCAUAUGAUCCGUUUGGUCUGUUUAGAGGUCUGUAGACGUAUUUGUGGGUGUGUGUGCCUACUUCUGUACAGAUGUGUUUGUAUGACCCUGUUCGUUAUGGCAGCCUUGUCGGCGUGCACUUUGUAUAUGUUUUGGGCCGUUGCGCCAUCUGUUAGCCUUGCCGGCUUUUUGAUAUAAGUAUAUGUAUAUGUUUGCGCUGUGUGUCUGAUACAGUUUGACAUAGUUUGAGACGGCAUAUAGUGUUUAUGGCCGUAUAUGCUAUUUGGAUGUGAUCAGAUAUGGAUAGGUAUGUCAGGGUGCCCAAGUAGGGCGCCAGUCACGGCCUACGGGGUUGGGUCGUGACACGUGCGAUGAGCUCGGCCCAGAAGAAAAAUCCCCUACUAUCGUAGGCAGGGGGUUUCAAACCUGAUACCUUCAGUAGAAGUCCCAUGCUCAACCGAUUGAGCCACCGUAGAUUAGAGUUAUUGAUCUUUUGGUUCUAAAAGCUGGCAUAUUAGCUUUGUCCACAGUGAUGUGCCGUGGUAAGGCUGCUGAGGUUUUGUAUUCCACCCUCUACUCUAGGCUGUAGUUGUAUUGAGGAAGCUGCAAGUCCCUUAGAUUCUCUAAAUAGCGAGAAAAUAGCAAGCUCUUUAUGUGCAUAGUGCUCUUUUUUCACAUUCCAAGGAGCUUUGUUUGGUUCCAAUAUCCAUUGGAUGAAUAUGAUUUUGUUCCUUUUUAUUGAGCUGAUUUGAUUGUGACAGUGAUGGAGUCAUACCUUUGGUGAAUUAUUGAUGAUAUACUUUCAAGUUAUAUGCCCAAUAAAAAGAAACAAAAUCGUGUUUGUAUAGAAAUUUGGGUGAGUUAAGAGUUGAUACAGCUGGACUUUGCUCGGUUUGCUAUGAAAAUGCUCCAGAUCUAAUAACUACCAAUGUGGAGCCUCAUAAUAAAUUGCCUGCCGUUUUUUUUUGUUUUUUUUUAUUUAUGUGCUUUUGGUUUUUCCUUCAUAAUAACCUCCUACAAGUAGAACUGAAAUUUUUACCUCGUAGUCUUUAGAUGUCAGUUAAGGUGAAUGUAUCUAUUCAUUUUCACUGCAUACAAGUUGACUGAAAUGCAGUUUGUGUUUGCGCUUUUUGCUUUUUCUUUAACUAGGUGGCUAUUUUUGUAAUGUUAUACUGUUUUUGCGAUUCAUGUGAAAAA